rnacentral:rRNA from 1 species
UACGGAGGGUGCAAGCGUUAUCCGGAUUCACUGGGUUUAAAGGGAGCGUAGGUGGGUUGGUAAGUCAGUGGUGAAAUCCCCGAGCUUAACUUGGGAACUGCCAUUGAUACUAUCAGUCUUGAAUACUGUGGAGGUUAGCGGAAUAUGUCAUGUAGCGGUGAAAUGCUUAGAUAUGACAUAGAACACCAAUUGCGAAGGCAGCUGGCUACACAAUUAUUGACACUGAUGCUCGAAAGCGUGGGGAGCGAACAGG